GACGAACUCUGGCGGCGUGCCUAAUACAUGCAAGUCGGACGCACAGGUCAUGCCGUUAGCUUGCUGCUCCAAGACUGAUGAGUUGCAGAACCGCUGAAUAACCCUGACCUUGCCUAUCUAAUAAAUGCGGAAAACUGUUGCAAACAACAGAUAAUACCUCCUGCUGUAUGUAGCACGUGGUAAAUGCUCGACAGAUGCGGAUGCAUCCCUAGCAUAUGGACCUGCUUUGGAUUAACUGGCAUGUAAGGGAUUGGACUACCUACCCGACUAUACGUAUCCCACCUGACAUGGUGAUCGACCUCCCUGCCACAGACACACGGCCCACACUCCUACGGAAUGCUGCACUAUGGAAUCUUCCCUGAUGCGGGAAACCCUGACCCAGCAUCACCGCCUGAGUGAAGAAAGUUUUCUUAUCCUGAAACUCUGUUGGUAAGGAAGAACUAGUGUGAGAAUGGACAGUUCAUGCUGUGACGGCACUUACCCAGAUACGGACGGCUAACUACGUGCCACCAUCCGCGGUAAUACGUAGGUCCCGAGCGUUGUCCAGGUUUAUUGGGCGUAAACUUAGCGCAUGCGGCUAGAACAGUCUGACGUGACAGGCAGUGGCUCAACCAUUGUAGGCUUUCGAUACGGGUUGACUUGAGGAAGGUAGGGGAGAAUGGAAUUCCUGGUGGAGCGGUGGAAUGCGCAGAUAUCAGGAGAAACACCAGUGGCGAAGGCGGUUCUCUGGGCCUUUCCUGACGCUGAGGAGCGAAAGCGUGGGGAGCGAACAGGCUUAGAUACCCUGGUAGUCCACGCUGUAAACGGUGGGUACUAGGUGUGGGGUCCAUUCCACGGGUUCCGUGCCGUAGCUAACGCUUUAAGUACCCCGCCUGGGGAGUACGGCCGCAAGGCUAAAACUCAAAGGAAUUGACGGGGCCCCGCACAAGCGGCGGAGCAUGCGGAUUAAUUCGAUGCAACGCGUAGAACCUUACCUGGGUUUGACAUGGAUCGGGAGCGCUCAGAGAUGGGUGUGCCUCUUUUGGGGUCGGUUCACAGGUGGUGCAUGGCUGUCGUCAGCUCGUGUCGUGAGAUGUUGGGUUAAGUCCCGCAACGAGCGCAACCCUUGUUCACUGUUGCCAGCACGUUAUGGUGGGGACUCAGUGGAGACCGCCGGGGUCAACUCGGAGGAAGGUGGGGAUGACGUCAAGUCAUCAUGCCCCUUAUGUCCAGNGCUUCACGCAUGCUACAAUGGCUGGUACAGAGAGUGGCGAGCCUGUGAGGGUGAGCGAAUCUCGGAAAGCCGGUCUCAGUUCGGAUUGGGGUCUGCAACUCGACCUCAUGAAGUCGGAGUCGCUAGUAAUCGCAGAUCAGCAACGCUGCGGUGAAUACGUUCCCGGGGGCU
rnacentral:rRNA from 1 species